UCCGUUUUGUCAACGGCAGUCUCAAUAGAGUGCUCGGCCGAACCGCUAGCAACUAUUGAUAAGGGUUGCGCUCGUUGCGGGACUUAACCCAACAUCUCACGACACGAGCUGACGACAGCCAUGCAGCACCUGUGCAUGGAUCCCGAAGGAGGCUCCUGGUUUCUCAGGAGUUUCCCAUGCAUGUCAAGCCUAGGUAAGGUUCUUCGCGUUGCUUCGAAUUAAACGAGCUG
rnacentral:misc_RNA from 1 species